rnacentral:rRNA from 1 species
GACGAACGCUGGCGGCGUGCUUAACACAUGCAAGUCGAGCGGUAAGGCCCUUUCGGGGUACGACGAGCGGCGAACGGGUGAGUAACACGUGGGUGACCUGCCCUCAGCUCUGGGAUAAGCCUGGGAAACCGGGUCUAAUACUGGAUAUGACUCCAUGACGCAUGUUGUGGGGUGGAAAGCCUUGUGCGGCUGAGGAUGGGCCCGCGGCCUAUCAGCUUGUUGGCGGGGUGAUGGCCUACCAAGGCGACGACGGGUAGCCGGCCUGAGAGGGCGACCGGCCACACUGGGACUGAGACACGGCCCAGACUCCUACGGGAGGCAGCAGUGGGGAAUCUUGCGCAAUGGGCGAAAGCCUGACGCAGCGACGCCGCGUGAGGGAUGACGGCCUCGG